GCCGGGCAUGCCUCCUCUCUUCUGCCCCUCGACUCCGCGAGCCGCCACCGCGUCGUCGCCGCCACCGAGCUCUCUCACGCCGCCAGCGGACGGCGGCCCCGAGCCGCCGCCGUCGCGCGUAUCCCCCUCGACCUACCCAGCGCCAGCGUGGCGCUUUGCCUCUCCCCCUGGCGCCUCCUCCUCUGCGACCCCUGGCCACCGCCGUCGCGCCUCUCUCCCUCGACCAACCUAGCGUCGGGGGUGGAGGAGCGGCAAGGGGCGGCGCUGGGACGAAGUGGAGGAGCAGGGAGGGGCGGCUUGUGGGGUGGCGCCGGAUGAGGGGGGGUGCUGAGGGAAGGCCGACCGGUGCCAGCCACGCUUUCUCAACCAUGCAUGGCCUCUCUCGUCGUCAUCCGCCGUCGCGCCUCUACCCGCUGCAGGAUGUAGAGGUACUCUACCUAGACCUUGGCUGCCUGCCCUAUCUUCCCAUCUCUCGAAACAAAUUGGUUUAAACGGAUAUUUCUACGUCAUCCGAUAGCAUAGGAGCUCCGAUGAGUCAGCGUCGUAUUUACCCUGCUUCUUGCUGCUUCCACCACCAGAGAUCCUCCAGCCUCGAGCUCGUUCGCCUCCUGUCUCCUAUCACGGUAGUGUUUGAGACCAAUGGUGGAUCAGGUGGAAAUAACCGUGCCAUGCAAGCAAUGCCCCAAACCGAAAUUUUCAUAUAGAAUCGAGGGAUUUUUGGGCUCUGUAACUUAUCGUAUGCUAGCUUUUGUUUCGAACAUUUGUCUCCUGCUGGCCAUUUAAUAUGCUUUCCUGGUCUGUUGGUGCUUUCUUUUUUAUGCACUUUUGUCUAUCUUGACCGUGCCAUGGAACAUUGAUGGAUAAGGAAUUUCAAAUUUAUGCUUCUUCUCUUAUGUUAUAUAUAUACUACUUCUAAAGUAUAUAUGUUUAUGUGUAUAAGCUUGAGCUUUGAUUUAUUUCCCUCACCAUGACUUGUUGUUUGUUCCAUAGUUUGCUCUGCAAUUACCAAGUUCAUCCUUAAUUUGACCUCCACAAAACUAUAUAUGGGAUUGUGGGUGGCCUCUAAUAUCUACAAAUGAUCUGGAUUGAUACUUUUAUGUAGGUAUACGGGUAGAUGGCUUAUCUCACUUUUCAAUGUUUGACAAUGUACCCCGUCGAUCUGGCAGGUUGAGAGAGCUUAAGGGCUGAAACAGCUAGAGUCUGUAGGAAGGAUCUUAUAUCAAUAAAGCUUGCCGACUCUUGAAAUGUGGCGACGGCAGUGGAUCUGCUCUCCUACAGUGUGAAGAAGAUCGCCAUCAACCUGCACCAGGAGCACCGGAGCAGCGGGAGGAUGCCACCUGCGCCUGGGAACGUUGGGGUCGCUGUCAACUUUGGUUUCUUCUCUGACCAGCGCGACGACCACCACCACCAUGAACGAGCAGUAGAAAGUCUUCAAGAUCCGUUGAAGAUCGAGAAAUUGUAGUGAUGAAGGCACCGUGAGCAGUACCCUCACCGUCGAGGGUGUCCUGGUUGCCUCCUUGAUUGGUUUUCACCGCCGUUUACAUACUGUGAUUGUUACUAGAAGUUUAAUGUGAACAUCCGGGAAUUCCACCACCUGGACGUUGUUUCCUUGUAUACUAUCUCACCCAAUAGAAGCACCACAUUUCAGUUCA